GAUGAACGCUGGCGGCGUGCUUAACACAUGCAAGUCGAACGGAAAGGCCCUGCUUGCAGGGUACUCGAGUGGCGAACGGGUGAGUAACACGUGGGUGAUCUGCCCUGUACUUUGGGAUAAGCCUGGGAAACUGGGUCUAAUACCGAAUAUGACAAUUGUUUGGUUGCGAUUGUGGAAAGCUUUUGCGGUAUGGGAUGAGCUCGCGGCCUAUCAGCUUGUUGGUGGGGUAAUGGCCUACCAAGGCGUCGACGGGUAGCCGGCCUGAGAGGGUGUACGGCCACAUUGGGACUGAGAUACGGCCCAGACUCCUACGGGAGGCAGCAGUGGGGAAUAUUGCACAAUGGGCGCAAGCCUGAUGCAGCGACGCCGCGUGGGGGAUGACGGCCUUCGGGUUGUAAACUCCUUUCGCAACCGACGAAGCCUUUUGGUGACGGUAGGUUGAGAAGAAGCACCGGCUAACUACGUG
rnacentral:rRNA from 1 species